rnacentral:piRNA from 1 species
UGAAAGAAAAGGAUACCAGCCGCCAA